AAUAUUCAUUAAACCCUAACUAUAUGUAGCAGUUGGUCCAAAGCGCCUCCCUCAGUCCCUCUGUCUUUCAUUUCCAUUUCCCAAGCCAUUCCUCUUUCAAAUCCUCGAUACACAGCCUCCAAAUCCUUCCUCUGCAGUCGACGUCGUCCCGCCGUCCUCCGUCAUCGACAUCGGUCUGCAGUCGACGUGAGGUGUCGCUGUCCCGCCGUCCUCGACAUCGGUCUGCAGUCGACGUGAGGUGUCGCCGUCCCGCCGUCCUCGACAUCAACCUACCGUCAUCGACAUCGAUCUGAAACCUCAACAGUUGCGAUUGAUAAAAUUCUCAAGCAGUUGAAUCCAACAGAGAAAUCUGGAGCGACAUAAAUAUAGACCAGUUGCGACUGAUAAAUUCUUAAGCGGUUGAAGCGACACAGUACACGAACCGAGGUAGACAUAAUGAAUGAACCUGAGGUAGACCCCAGAUGUGGUUUGCGUGCACCGGCAAGAUGGCGCAUGUGCCCUCGAUUGGUCUCAAUUGGGUUAAAAGUUUUUUACUUCCCUCAAGGGCAUGCUGAGCAUCUUUGUGCUCAAUUUGAGGGGAUUUAUGAUGUUCCAUGUAUGAUCUGUUGUAGCUGUUGUAGAGUGUCAACUGUGAAAUUUGUUGCCAAGCCCACAACCAAGGAAGUAUAUGCAGCAAUUGGAUUGGUUCAGUGUGAUGAGGCUGAAGAGGUGGCAAAUACAAACAUUAACGUAACACCGGAUAUGGACCGAACUGUCUCACGACGUUCUGAAUCCAGCUCACGUACCGCUUUAAUGGGCGAACAGCCCAACCCUUGGAACAUACUACAGCCCCAGGUGGCGAAGAGCCGACAUUGAGGUGAGGUCAUUCCAUUUUGACAAAAGACCCACACCCAAGUUCCAUAGCCGCUAUCCCGAUCAUGAUUCCCCUACCCCCAGAGGGAAAGGUCCUUCCCUUUUGGUCCGGUUGUGGGCGAGGAGGGAUUCGAACCCCUGACAUCGUGGUUCGUAGCCACGUGCUCUAAUCCUCUGAGCUACAGGCCCCACCCCGUCUCCACUGGAUCUGUUCCCGGGAGUAUCCGCCAAAGAAAGCCUUUCUCUAUAUAUCCCGAAUCUCCCUCUUUGGAACGGAGGCCUUUCGCUUGCAAUUUUAAUGGCGGACUUGAAGCUCGUGGACAAUACUUGACCAACUCAAAAGGUCCUUCCUCUUGCUGCCUUAUGCAUUUCUUUAGUAAUUGAUGCAGCCCUGCUGAUUUUUUUUGCAAUCCUACAAAGAGAGUAUCAUCUCCUAGCUUCAUAAAUACAAUUCCUGUUUUUUCUUUUUCCGUGUUUAAAAUUCCUGAUAAUCCAUUUGCGAGGUAUUAUCUUCUGUUGAAUUCAUUUUAGGACUAGUGACAUACAUGAGAAUAUUUCGGGUUUUAAAGAAAAAGAAAAGAGUCUAUGUCAGUAGCCCUAAAAUGAAUUCAGCAUAAGAUAACGCCUCUCAAAUGGAAUAUAUGGAAUUUUAAACACGGAAAAAGAAAAAAGAGGAAUUGUAUUUAUGAAGCUAGAAGAUGACACUCUCCUUGUAGGAUUGCAAAAAAAAUCAGCAGUGAAUAAAUGCACAAGGCAGCAAGCGUAAGGCCUUUUGAAGUCAAGUAUUACCCACGAGCUUCAAGUCCCGUCAUUUUGGAUCCAUGUGUCAGCUGUCCGCAAGUCAAUGCAAUUUGAUUGGAAGCUAAGUAUGAAAUUUGAAAAGAUGUUCGAAAUUGAGGAUUCAACGGGAACAAGGUCGUUUAGUGGUACUGUGUCCUCAGGUGUCUGGCAUUCACUUUGGAAUUAUGUUGAGGUGACAUGGGAUGAUCCCAUUCAGGAUGAAGAAUAUGUGAAUCCAUUGGAGAUAAAACCACUACUUCCUCCCAACAAUCUGUCAACUUCCACACCACAAGGGCCACAAGGCCCUAAGAGUAUAAAAUCUCCUCAAGUACAAUUGUGCAGGCAAAUUUCGGCCGAGGUUCAAACAUUCACUUGCUGAGAAGACCAAAGGGAGGAAGAAAGCCUACAUGAAGCCGAUGGUCUAAGACUUUUUUCCCCCUCUUUAUAUUCUGGUUCUAUAAACGAAUGCAUGAAGUGAUGCGAUCCUUCUUGGUACCGAGACUUUGCAUGUAUUGUACCCAGUAGAGACUAUUUCUAUUGCUGGUAAAAUUUGUGCCGAGGUGGUUAUGGGACUCUUGAAGAGCUACUUGAAGUGAUAACAAGGGCUCAACUUGGCAUACAAGAUAAACCUGUUGUUAUGGGACUCUUGAAGAGCUACCUGAAGUGAUAACAUGGGCUCGUCAUACAAGAUAAAUCUGUAAUUCUUACUUCUGCUUUCUCAGGUCGAAUUGCUGAAUGUAGAUGGAUACUACAAUUCACUGCUGUCAUUUAUCGAAAAGCUGUGGAAGAAGGUUUCAUUUGCCUAAGUGCACGGCAUAUCAUUGUAUCUGCACCAACUGCAAAAGAGUUGGUGAAGAAAUUAGAGUUGUCAAGGAACAUUGAUCUGGUCUAUGGAGGUGGUAGCAUAGGCCAAAUGGGGUUGGUUUCACAUGCUGUUCAUAAUGGUGGUCGGCACUUUAUUGAGUUAUUCCCGAGAUGCUCAUGCCUUGAGAGUUGAUUGGUGAAAUAGUAGGGGAAGUGAUGUUUGUUGCAGAUAUGCAUCAAAGGAAAGUAGAAAUGGCUAAGCAUUCUGAUGCUUUUACAUGCCUUGCGAGGUAAGUCUUAUCCUCCCGAGUUCAUUUCUUUUUUCCCAUUUGUCCUUUUUUGGGAAAGGCAUGUAGGGGCAAACUUGUCAUUUUAGUAUUAAUAUGCUACACCUUAUUCCCCCAUCUGUGAAGAGAAAAAAUUCAAAUAAAUACUAAAUGUAUAUUAAAUGAUGGUAUGAGAGACAAAUGGAAGGUACUGAGCUGUAAUUCUGAAGUUCUUUGCACAUUUCAAAUGCAUUAUUUAUUAACAAUCUUGUACAUAAGGAGUUAUAUUCUGUGAUGUUAAAUGCAAGUGGUUAUGGGGCUCUUGAAGAGCUACUUGAAGUGAUAACACGGGCUCAACUUGUCAUACAAGAUAAAUCUGUAAUUCUUACUUCUGCUUUCUAAGGUUCUGUUGGAUUGUUGGUGAUUUUCUUUCUAAAAUUGCAUUUGAAUCUGCUUUUACCGUGUCAACUCUUUUCUAUGUUAUUAAAUAUAUGCAUCAUUCUACAUUUUUGCAGGUCGGAUUGCUGAAUGUAGAUGGAUACUACAAUCCACUGCUAUCAUUUAUCGACUAAGCUGUGGAAGAAGGUCUUGUUAGUCCAAGUGCACGGCAUAUCAUUCUCUCUGCGCCAACUGCAAAAGAGUUGGUGAAGAAAUUAGAGGUAACAUAUACUCAACAUCACAGUUGCUUUUUCAGUUGGAUUCUUUCAUCUCGUUUGAACUAUUUGUCUAAGAAAGUAAUUGAAGCAUACAGUUGCUCAAAUAGUUUAGUGCCUGUCCUGCUCUAGAAAAAGGAGAAAAUAUUGCUUACUCUGUUCGUUUCCAUUCCAGAAAUAUUGAGAAAGUAAAAAAAUUCAUCUGUUUUGGCCUGUGAUUAGCUCAACGUGAUUGCGUUUUUGUAUGUCAUUGGAUAUUUGAAACCACAAAACGUGAUUUCCUUUCACAAUUGAUGCAUAAACUUAUGGUCUGAAAAGAUUCAUACAGGUAAUGAAAUGGUUUUACUUGUGCAGUGGAUUAAUCUUUUUUUUUUUUUUUUUUUUUCUUCCCGAAAGUAAUUAGUCUCGUUUUCGUAUAUGUGUUGUCUCAGGAGUAUGUUCCCCACUAUGAAUGAGUUGCCUCGAAGCUGAGCUGUUCCCCGCUGUGAACGAGUUGCCUCGAAGUUGAGCUGGGGAGAUGGAGCAACUUAGCUACCCCCAGCAAUAUGUUAAUUGUUGGUUUGACACACGAAUUUUGAUCAUAAACUCCCAGUCUAUUUUAGAAAUUAACCCUAAAAAUAUAUUAGCAUAAAUGAUAAUUGUUGUUGUAAUGACUUGGGAUUAAGUAUCAUAGUAGGAAAUCAGAUUUGUAUUAUAUAUUUUAAACUUUUCCAACAGAAA